CCGCCUCCUGGCGUUUCCCCUUCCCUUCCCGGCGCUUCCUCUGCCUCCAUCCCCACGCCGGCGUCUGCUCCGGGCCCGGCGGCCACCAUCAGCACCCCUACAGACCUCCUCUUUUCCUCUCCGGUGCCGGUUUUCUCCCAGCCUUCCCCCACCCAGUCCACGCGGGCCUCGUGCGGUCGUUCACGACUUGAGAGGUGGCAGGACAGUUCGCCGGCUGGCGGCUCAGAUAGCCUUUCUUGGCGGAAGUCGCUUCACAAGCUCUACCGUGAUGUGGUGGCCGUUCAGCCUGUUGUAUUAGCUUCGAAGGCAGGCAGCGAUCAUUUGCUG
rnacentral:misc_RNA from 1 species